CGUAGGGUGCAAGCGUUAAUCGGAAUUACUGGGCGUAAAGCGUGCGCAGGCGGUGAUGUAAGACAGAUGUGAAAUCCCCGGGCUCAACCUGGGACCUGCAUUUGUGACUGCAUCGCUAGAGUACGGUAGAGGGGGAUGGAAUUCCGCGUGUAGCAGUGAAAUGCGUAGAUAUGCGGAGGAACACCGAUGGCGAAGGCAAUCCCCUGGACCUGUACUGACGCUCAUGCACGAAAGCGUGGGGAGCAAACAGGAUUAGAUACCCUGGUAGUCCACGCCCUAAACGAUGUCAACUGGUUGUUGGGUCUUCACUGACUCAGUAACGAAGCUAACGCGUAGAAGUUGACCGCCUGGGGAGUACGGCCGCAAGGUUG
rnacentral:rRNA from 1 species